GGCGCUGUGGGGUAAUGGUUAACCUUAGGCUUCAGAGUAAGUUCCUACAAGCACUGCGAUGCCUAGCUGUGAGUUCAAAUCUCGCCAGCGCCG